rnacentral:rRNA from 1 species
UUUUCUUGCUAGUUUUUGAAGUAUGGCCUGCCCGCUGAUUGAAGGGCCGCGGUAUUUUGACCGUGCAAAGGUAGCAUAGUCAUUAGUUCUUUAAUUGUGAUCUGGUAUGAAUGGCUUGACGAGACAUGGGCUGUCUUUUUGAAUUUGUAUUUUGAGUUAAAAUUCUUAGAUGUUUUUAUGGGACGAGAAGACCCUAUAGAGUUUGACAUUUGGUUUUUUGUUUGUUUUAAAUUUUUGCGUUUGUUUUGUUGGGGUGAUGGGAAGAAUUUUUUAACUCUUCUUUAUUGGUAUAUUGAUUUAUAUUUAUUUUGAUCCAUUUAUUUUGAUUAUAAGAUUAAAUUACCUUAGGGAUAACAGCGUUAUCUUCCCUGAGAGUUCUUAUUGGCGGGGGGGUUUGCGACCUCGAUGUUGGAUUAAGGUUAAUUUUUGGUGUAGGAGCUGAAUUGAUUANGUCUGUUCGACCUUUAAAAUCUU